rnacentral:sRNA from 23 species
GGACCACUGGACAAGAUUACGUCUUUCGGGACGGCUGUCCGGUCAAGGCCAUACGGACAGCCGGGUCCACUGCCGA